UAUAUAUAUAUAUAUAAAUAUAUAAAUAAUAAUAUUUUGAAGGCAAAACAAAAUGUACUCCCCCUAGACUAGCUCUUACCAUAUCCAGAAACGAACCGGUUGGAUAUGCUGGUGAUCUGAAAACGCUGACAAAAUAACCAAGGAGACAAAUAACCAGAGAGUAAGUGGUAUGUCACCCCCGAUCUCUACCAACAUGCAGAAAAUAAUGCCCCCUACUGCCAACAGACGCUUUCUUUCAUCCUGAAUCAUGACGUUGUCGGUUCAAGUGGGUGUUCCACUUGAGUUUGGUCUAACGUGAAGCUUUGUGUGGUUGCGUGAUAAAUAAGGGCCCAUGUCUCCAUUUUGUGCCUCUUUCCAUACAUGAUUAUCUUUGUUUUAGAGAUUUCCCUGGAAGCUUCCUUGUGACGUUCUGUGUUAAGUAAGCACAAUGGAGGAAGGACGAUUUGCACAACAACCAUAUGGAGUUUGUCUCAUCGAGUCAUCUUUGUUACCCUCAGCAAUGCAAAAAUCUGUAUGUUGCAUGUGAAAGACUCAUAACAAAGUCAGGGGAAUAUUUUGAUGAAAAAUAUUGAAAGCUCAAGGGGGGGAUUAACAGCAAUGGGGAUAUAAAUAUAUAGCCAAUCAUUUGGUUUACGUAACAAAUCUCUCCGCUUCAACAAAUGUCAGAGGUGUUGCCGCAAAUGUUUUUUUUUUUAUUUAAUGGUUUGGAUUUGGAGUAUUUUGUGAGAUUGUUUGUGUUUGUGAAUAUGAAGAUUUCCUGCUCUUUGCCACCAUCUUUGUUAAUUUACCCCAACACUCUGUGUUGCAAAAAAUAGAGUAUGUAAGUUCUGACCAAAUUUAAAGUUAAUGUAUGUUAUUACAAUGGAUUGAUUAUGUCUUAUUUAUGUACUGACUUGUUUAACAAAAAAGGUAAAGCUAAAAAAUAUAUAAAAAGAGAUGACAGUGCCUGGAUAUUAAUGAAUUAUCUAUAGAAAUUAUAAAGAUGUGUAGAGCAUGUUCAUUUUUAUACAAGAUAUUUCUAAUAAAAGUGUUUUCCUAAGAAACAGUGU
ensembl:lncRNA